rnacentral:lncRNA from 11 species
CUCAAACGAACCUCAAAUGAGACACUGAUUUCAAAUAUGAACAAUAUCAUGGUGGCCUCCUCUGCUUUGUUUCACGUACACCAUCAUCCUAAAUAGGACGCAACAAAUGGAGAACAACCAUAGGAUCGUCUACCCGAGCUGAGGCCAGCCUGUAUGGGGAUCAUCAGCACCAACCAUUGAAGGAUCAGCGGCUCUGUUCAUCCAUCCUCUAAUGUGAAAUCCUUCCAGUAAUUUCCACUAUUUUGUUAUUUCCCAUCUUGCAGCCACUAGUAACAUUAAAA